rnacentral:rRNA from 1 species
CGUAGCUACUGCGGAGAUCAUUACCGAGUGCGGGCCCCUCGGGGCCCAACCUCCCACCCGUGUUGCCCGAACCUAUGUUGCCUCGGCGGGCCCCGCGCCCGCCGACGGCCCCCCUGAACGCUGUCUGAAGUUGCAGUCUGAGACCUAUAACGAAAUUAGUUAAAACUUUCAACAACGGAUCUCUUGGUUCCGGCAUCGAUGAAGAACGCAGCGAAAUGCGAUAACUAAUGUGAAUUGCAGAAUUCAGUGAAUCAUCGAGUCUUUGAACGCACAUUGCGCCCUCUGGUAUUCCGGAGGGCAUGCCUGUCCGAGCGUCAUUGCUGCCCUCAAGCCCGGCUUGUGUGUUGGGCCCCGUCCCCCCCGCCGGGGGGACGGGCCCGAAAGGCAGCGGCGGCACCGCGUCCGGUCCUCGAGCGUAUGGGGCUUCGUCACCCGCUCUAGUAGGCCCGGCCGGCGCCAGCCGACCCCCAACCUUUAAUUAUCUCAGGUUGACCUCGGAUCAGGUAGGGAUACCCGCUGAACUUAAGCAUAUCAAU